GAUCCCGUAGCUCAGCAGGAUAGAGCACUAGAUUCCUAAUCUGGGGGUCGCGCGUUCGAAUCGCGCCGGGAUCGCCA
rnacentral:tRNA from 2 species